UACGGAGGGAGCUAGCGUUGUUCGGAAUUACUGGGCGUAAAGGGCUCGUAGGCGGCCAACUAAGUCAGACGUGAAAUCCCUCGGCUUAACCGGGGAACUGCGUCUGAUACUGGAUGGCUUGAGAUUGGGAGAGGGAUGCGGAAUUCCAGGUGUAGCGGUGAAAUGCGUAGAUAUCUGGAGGAACACCGGUGGCGAAGGCGGCAUCCUGGACCAACACUGACGCUGAGGAGCGAAAGCCAGGGGAGCAAACGGG
rnacentral:rRNA from 1 species